AAUGCAUUUAGCUUUGAGCUGAAGAAAGCUGCGGCUGGUGCAAGCAUCUCUCAGCUCACACAGGCAUUAACAUAUACGGUCAUUGUCUCUGCUGCUUCCCACUGCAGCUUUAUAUAAUAAAACAAGCCGCGUCAAAUAGGCUAGGCUGUAAUAUUAGGUAAAAUCUAAUUUCAGUUUGGUUAUCACAUAGCGUUCAUUUCCCUAAGGGAGGAGAAAAAAUUAAAUUUGUAAGCUUAAGAUUCCAGCUGAAGUACUCAAGAAUCCUGUUUCUCUGACAGAGGAAACGAACAACAACUUGACUGGACACAUCCUAACCCAACCAUACGCUGUGUUACUUCCUCUACUGCGCCACACACAGCUAUUAUUCUAAGCUUUCUUAUUCAAACCCUUAAGGAUUUGUAAGGAGAACGCUAAGAAGAUGGGCAGAAAUCAAAGCUUCCUGGUGUGAGGUUGUGGUAGAAGAUUCCUGGUUG
rnacentral:lncRNA from 1 species